AUGGAAGAAGAAAUUGAUGACACUGUGAGCUCAUUGGAUGAAAAAGAUGAUGAGGAGAGCGAAGAACAAAAGGAGGAAGAGCGGAUUGAUCACCCGUGCCCACCUUCUAAUGAGAGUAACUCUUCAACUCAUACAUUGUUUAAUUCCCCUUUGUGCUUACCGAAGGAUGAUUGCUAUGAUGACUGUUAUGAUCCCUAUGAUUCUUUUGAAAUAUCCCUUUUUGAUGAUGCUUGUUAUGCUUAUGGCCAAGAUGACAAUAUGAAUUAUGCUUAUGGAGAUGAAUUUGCUAUAGUUCCUUAUGUUAAACAUGAAAUUGUUGCUAUCGCACCCACGCAUGAUAGUCCUAUUAUCUUUUUCAAUUCCCCCGAUUAUACUAUAUCGGAGAAGUUUGCACUUAUUAAGGAUUAUAUUGAUGGGUUGCCUUUUACCGUUGCACAUGAUGAUUUCAAUAAAUAUAAUAUGCAUGUGCUUGCUGCUACUACUUGCAAUUAUUAUGAGAGAGGAACUAUAUCUCCACCUCUCUAUGUUUCCAACAUGAUAAAAUUGCAAGAAACUGUUUAUACUAUGCAUUGGCCUUUACUAGGUGUGCAUGAAUUGUUCUUUUAUGACAUGCCGAUGCAUAGGAAGAGAGUUAGACUUCGGCAUUGCUUGAUAUAUGUUGCUUUGUGCUCACUACUAAAUUACAAAUCUUUGUUAAUUAAAAUUGGCUUUGAUAUACCUUGGGAUCCUGGUGGAUUCACUACUUGA
rnacentral:rRNA from 1 species